rnacentral:rRNA from 1 species
GACGAAGGGGGCUAGCGUUGUUCGGAAUUACUGGGCGUAAAGCGCGUGUAGGCGGUUGUUCAAGUCAGGUGUGAAAGCCUUGAGCUCAACUCAAGAAAUGCACUUGAUACUGGAUGACUAGAGGACCGGAGAGGAGAGUGGAAUCCCAGUGUAGAGGUGAAAUUCGUAGAUAUUGGGAAGAACACCGGUGGCGAAGGCGGCUCUCUGGACCGAUACUGACGCUGAGG